rnacentral:rRNA from 1 species
AGCGAACGCUGGCGGCGUGCCUAACACAUGCAAGUCGAACGUGAAAAGGGAAACCUGAGUAAAUUGGCGUACGGGUGAGUAACGCGUAGGUAAUCUACCCCAGAAUCUGGAAUAACCUGCCGAAAGGCGGGCUAAUACUGGAUAGAGCGUGGGAACUCGUAAGAGAGUUUUUCGGGAAAGGGAGCCCGCAAGGGCCUUCGUUAUGGGCUGCGCCUGCGUCUCAUUAGCUAGUUGGUAAGGUAACGGCUUACCAAGGCGAUGAUGAGUGGCUGGUCUGAGAGGAUGGUCAGCCACACUGGAACUGAAACACGGUCCAUACUCAUAGGGGAGGCAGCAGUGGUGAAUCGUGCGCAAGGAACGAAAGUCUUACGCAGCCACGCCGCGUGAGUGAAGAAGGCCUUCGGGUUGUAAAGCUCUGUCGGAUGGGACGAACAUCUUCAUAGUGAAUAGCUAGGAGGACUGACGGUACCAGCAAAGGAAGCACCGGCUAACUCCGUG